rnacentral:rRNA from 1 species
CUUAAAAUGGUAAAGCCGCGAAUGGCUCGGUAUAACAGCUACGGUUUAUUAGAUUUUAGUUAUCUACUUGGAUAACUGUGGUAAUUCUAGAGCUAAUACAUGCACGAAAGCUCGGACCUUACGGAAAGAGCGCAUUUAUUAGAACAAAACCAAUCGAAUUCCCUCACGGGGUUCGUCUGUUGGUGACUCUGAAUAACUAAGUUGAUCGCACAGUCAUAGAACUGGCGACGUAUCUUUCAAAUAUCUGCCUUAUCAACUUUCGAUGGUAGGUUAUACGCCUACCAUGGUUAUAACGGGUAACGGAGAAUAAGGGUUCGACUCCGGAGAGGGAGCCUGAGAAAUGGCUACCACAUCCAAGGAAGGCAGCAGGCGCGCAAAUUACCCAAUCCCAGUACGGGGAGGUAGUGACGAAAAAUAACGAGAUAGUCCACUAUGUGGCCUGUCAUCGGAAUGGGUACAAUUUAAAUCUUUUAACGAGGAUCUAUUAGAGGGCAAGUCUGGUGCCAGCAGCCGCGGUAAUUCCAGCUCUAAUAGCGUAUAUUAAAGUUGUUGUGGUUAAAACGCCCGUAGUUGAUUUUUCGACUUUGGAGCGCGGUAACUCGAAAGAGUUUUCACUGCGUCUGCCAAGUCUGAUUGUCUUGUUUUCUAUCGAUGCUCUUUAUUGAGUGUCUUUAGUGACUGGAACGUUUACUUUGAAAAAAUUAGAGUGCUUAAAGCAAGCUUUCAGCUUGAAUAAAGUGCAUGGGAUAAUGGAAUAGGACUUUAGUCUUAUUUUGUUGGUUUUCGAGAUUAAAGUAAUGAUUAAGAGGAAUAGACGGGGGCAUUCGUAUUGUUGCGUUAGAGGUGAAAUUCUUGGAUCGCAGCAAGACGAACAACUGCGAAAGCAUUUGCCAAGAAUGUUUUCAUUAAUCAAGGACGAAAGUUAG